AGGCUGGUGGCGGCCGUGGCGCGGCAGCCGGGGGGGGGGGAGCUGGCGGCCAUCUUGCCCCCCGGCGCCUCCCGGGGGCUCAUGGGAAGGCUGUUCUACCUGUGCCUGGAGCUCUGUGGUGCCGGAUGGCUGCGGCUGGAGCAGACCCAGCCCUUCGGCCCCAUAAGUGUGGGGCCAGGGCCGCGCGGGCCCACCCCUGCUAUGGGGCAGGAGGAGGAGGAGGAGGGGGGGGUGGCCCCAGACCCCUCCUAUUAAAGCUCUUGGGACCCAA